CCUCCUAAAAGGUAACGGAGGCGCUCAAAGGUUCCCUCAGAAUGGUUGGAAAUCAUUCAUAGAGUGUAAAGGCAUAAGGGAGCUUGACUGCGAGACCUACAAGUCGAGCAGGGUCGAAAGACGGACUUAGUGAUCCGGUGGUUCCGCAUGGAAGGGCCAUCGCUCAACGGAUAAAAGCUACCCCGGGGAUAACAGGCUUAUCUCCCCCAAGAGUUCACAUCGACGGGGAGGUUUGGCACCUCGAUGUCGGCUCAUCGCAUCCUGGGGCUGUAGUCGGUCCCAAGGGUUGGGCUGUUCGCCCAUUAAAGCGGUACGCGAGCUGGGUUCAGAACGUCGUGAGACAGUUCGGUCCCUAUCCGUCGUGGGCGUAGGAAAUUUGAGAGGAGCUGUCCUUAGUACGAGAGGACCGGGAUGGACAUACCUCUGGUGUACCAGUUGUCGUGCCAACGGCAUAGCUGGGUAGCUAUGUGUGGACGGGAUAAGUGCUGAAAGCAUCUAAGCAUGAAGCCCCCCUCAAGAUGAGAUUUCCCAACUUCGGUUAUAAGAUCCCUCAAAGAUGAUGAGGUUAAUAGGUUCGAGGUGGAAGCAUGGUGACAUGUGGAGCUGACGAAUACUAAUCGAUCGAAGACUUAAUCAAAA
rnacentral:rRNA from 1 species